UACAGGGGGGGCAAGCGUUGUUCGGAAUUACUGGGCGUAAAGGGGUUGUAGGCGGCCGACUAAGUCCGACGUGAAAUCCCAGGGCUCAACCCUGGAACUGCCUUUGAUACUGACGAUCUGGAGAUCGGGAGAGGUGAGUGGAAUUCCGAGUGUAGAGGUGAAAUUCGUAGAUAUUCGGAGGAACACCAGAAGCGAAGGCGGCUCACUGGCCCGAUACUGACGCUGAGGCGCGAAAGCGUGGGGAGCAAACAGG
rnacentral:rRNA from 1 species